ensembl:lincRNA
CAAGCAUUUUUACAUUAUAUAGUAUUUAAACUCAGUUUUUGUUUCCUCUUAUGUCAUAAACUUUUUACAGAGCUUAUUGACACAGUAUUUUUCUUUCCCUUCAAUUUUCCACAGACUAAAAAGGAGGAAGAAGAGCUUUCUCUGGAAAUGAAAUCAAGCAGCUUUCCUUGUAUUGAAAGGAAAGCGGCUGAAGACAGAGUGUUCCAAGAACCAAGAGAAUGAAUGUGGCUGAUGUGUGGAGAGAAGAGAUGGACCAAGAUGAGACUGGAAAGUCUACUGCUGGGGCUGUUAACCAAACCCAACUCAUAAAGCAGAGGAUAAGAGAUCUUUUGACACAGUCUGGAAAAGUUGUAGAAGGCUGUUCAGCCAUGCCUAGGAGCAAGCCAACAGUAAGGAAGAUGAAUGCUUUCCAUUACAGCUCUCCAAAAAUGGGGAAUGUGAGUCAAGAAAUUCCAGAAUCCUGAAGUACAUCUGUAUCAGGUAAGGUUUUAAAAGAUGUUUAAAGAUAAUUUAAAUAGUCAGUGCAAUUUCUUAAUUUCUCCAAAUGUGCUGUGCUCUAUCAAACACACUUUUUGCCUUUGUAUCUGCAUUUCCCUUUGUCUGGCUUGCCGCUGCUUCGCCCAUCGACCACAUCAUCUUUUUCUUGUCAAUCUUUAUUUACCUUCAGGAGCCAUUUCAUCAUCGAUUCUUCUUUGAAAUAUAUUCUGAUUCCACCCUACCCCCUAGGCAGAGUUAUGAACCUCCUCACUGUGACCACAUUGAAUGUCUUAAACAAUAAACUCUCUUACAACAUUCAUUUCUUACAUUUGCCUACAUCCUUUCUCCUGUGCUAGACUAAUGCUAUUCAAAAACUGCUAUAUGCAUACACACAGGGAUGAAGUGAUGGUAUUAUAGACUGUGCCUGGCACAGAGGCUUGUUAA